AGCAAGUGCACAUAGGUUUUGAGGCAAAAUAUGGUACAUAAGAAAAAUAUAACAAAUUUAUAACAAGACAUAAUGAGCAUUUAUCAUAUUAAUUUAUUAUAAUCAUGGAAAAAAAUUGAACUAAUUAUUUUAAGCCCGAUUGAAGGUCGACAGAAUAUCAGGACACCAUACCACAAAAUACUAUUAUACUAAGUUGCAAGAUAUUGUGCAAAAUAUAUUCCACAAUUGUAUGUUUUUUUGUAAAUGGCAUUAAGUCGUGCAUGGUACCACUUCAAACGCAAUUUUAUAUCUGUAACAUUUCCCAUUAUUUCGAUUUCUUCAAUCUACGCUGAUUACAAUCGGACAUUAAAUUGGAAAAAAACACAAAAUCAAGAAGUUUAAA